UACGUAGGGGGCAAGCGUUGUCCGGAAUCAUUGGGCGUAAAGCGCGUGUAGGCGGUUCGGUAAGUCUGCUGUGAAAGUCCAGGGCUCAACCCUGGGAUGCCGGUGGAUACUGUCGGGCUAGAGUGCGGAAGAGGCGAGUGGAAUUCCCGGUGUAGCGGUGAAAUGCGCAGAUAUCAGGAGGAACACCGAUGGCGAAGGCAGGUCUCUGGGCCACUACUGACGCUGAGAAGCGAAAGCGUGGGGAGCGAACAGG
rnacentral:rRNA from 1 species